rnacentral:sRNA from 12 species
GCUUUCAACAUCCCCGUUCGGCGCCCCACGGCGGCCGGACUGAAGGC